rnacentral:rRNA from 1 species
AGAGUUUGAUCCUGGCUCAGGACGAACGCUGGCGGCGCGCCUAAUACAUGCAAGUCGAGCGGACAGAUGGGAGCUUGCUCCCUGAUGUUAGCGGCGGACGGGUGAGUAACACGUGGGUAACCUGCCUGUAAGACUGGGAUAACUCCGGGAAACCGGGGCUAAUACCGGAUGGUUGUUUGAACCGCAUGGUUCAAACAUAAAAGGUGGCUUCGGCUACCACUUACAGAUGGACCCGCAGCGCAUUAGCUAGUUGGUGAGGUAAUGGCUCACCAAGGCAACGAUGCGUAGCCGACCUGAGAGGGUGAUCGGCCACACUGGGACUGAGACACGGCCCAGACUCCUACGGGAGGCAGCAGUAGGGAAUCUUCCGCAAUGGACGAAAGUCUGACGGAGCAACGCCGCGUGAGUGAUGAAGGUUUUCGGAUCGUAAAGCUCUGUUGUUAGGGAAGAACAAGUACCGUUCGAAUAGGGCGGUACCUUGACGGUACCUAACCAGAAAGCCACGGCUAACUACGUGCCAGCAGCCGCGGUAAUACGUAGGUGGCAAGCGUUGUCCGGAAUUAUUGGGCGUAAAGGGCUCGCAGGCGGUUUCUUAAGUCUGAUGUGAAAGCCCCCGGCUCAACCGGGGAGGGUCAUUGGAAACUGGGGAACUUGAGUGCAGAAGAGGAGAGUGGAAUUCCACGUGUAGCGGUGAAAUGCGUAGAGAUGUGGAGGAACACCAGUGGCGAAGGCGACUCUCUGGUCUGUAACUGACGCUGAGGAGCGAAAGCGUGGGGAGCGAACAGGAUUAGAUACCCUGGUAGUCCACGCCGUAAACGAUGAGUGCUAAGUGUUAGGGGGUUUCCGCCCCUUAGUGCUGCAGCUAACGCAUUAAGCACUCCGCCUGGGGAGUACGGUCGCAAGACUGAAACUCAAAGGAAUUGACGGGGGCCCGCACAAGCGGUGGAGCAUGUGGUUUAAUUCGAAGCAACGCGAAGAACCUUACCAGGUCUUGACAUCCUCUGACAAUCCUAGAGAUAGGACGUCCCCUUCGGGGGCAGAGUGACAGGUGGUGCAUGGUUGUCGUCAGCUCGUGUCGUGAGAUGUUGGGUUAAGUCCCGCAACGAGCGCAACCCUUGAUCUUAGUUGCCAGCAUUCAGUUGGGCACUCUAAGGUGACUGCCGGUGACAAACCGGAGGAAGGUGGGGAUGACGUCAAAUCAUCAUGCCCCUUAUGACCUGGGCUACACACGUGCUACAAUGGACAGAACAAAGGGCAGCGAAACCGCGAGGUUAAGCCAAUCCCACAAAUCUGUUCUCAGUUCGGAUCGCAGUCUGCAACUCGACUGCGUGAAGCUGGAAUCGCUAGUAAUCGCGGAUCAUCAUGCCGCGGUGAAUACGUUCCCGGGCCUUGUACACACCGCCCGUCACACCACGAGAGUUUGUAACACCCGAAGUCGGUGAGGUAACCUUUUAGGAGCCAGCCGCCGAAGGUGGGACAGAUGAUUGGGGUGAAGUCGGAACAAGGUAGCCGUAUCGGGGUGCGGCUG